rnacentral:rRNA from 1 species
AAAUGGUAGAACCGGGGUAAGCGUGUAGGAGGAGGACCAGGCAAAUCCGGGCCUCACAUACUCUGAGACGUGAUACCGAGCCGCUUCAGGCGAAGUCAUUAAUCCUAUGCUGCCUAGAAAAGCCCAGUAGCGAGUUGACAUGGUGCCCGUACCCCAAACCAACACAGGUGGACAGGUAGAGCAUACCAAGGCGAGUGGGAUAACUAUGGUUAAGGAACUCGGCAAAUUUCCUCCGUAACUUCGGGAUAAGGAGGACCCCAGUAGCGUGACGAGACUUGCUCUCCGAGCGUGAAGGGGUGGCACAAAAUUGAGGGAAGCGAUUGUUUACCAAAAACACAGCAGCGUGCUAAGCCGUAAGGCGCUGUAUACGCUGUGACUCCUGCCCGGUGCUGGAAGGUUACGGGGAUGGGUUAGUCCUUCGGGACGAAGCUCUGAACCUAAGCCCCAGUAAACGGCGGCCGUAACUAUAACGGUCCUAAGGUAGCGAAAUUCCUUGUCGGGUAAGUUCCGACCUGCACGAAUGGAGUAACGACUUCCCUACUGUCUCAACCAUAGACCCAGCGAAAUUGAAGUACGAGUAAAGAUGCUCGUUAGCUGCAGAAGGACGGAAAGACCCCGUGGACCUUUACUAUAACUUGAUGUUGUGUUUUGUCAUAUGUUGUGUAGGAUAGGUGGGAGACAAGGAAGCAUGGACGCUAGUCUGUGUGGAGUCAUCGUUGAAAUACCACCCUGCAUAUGGUGAGGCUCUAACCUAGACCCGUUAUCCGGGUUGGGGACAGCGUCAGGCGGGUAGUUUAACUGGGGCGGUUGCCUCCUAGAGAGUAACGGAGGCGCCCAAAGGUUCCCUCAGCCUGGUUGGCAAUCAGGCGUCGAGUGCAAUGGCAAAAGGGAGCUUGACUGCGAGACCUACAAGUCGAGCAGGUGCGAAAGCUGGGCAUAGUGAUCCGGCGGUUGCGUGUGGAAGCGCCGUCGCUCAACGGAUAAAAGGUACCCCGGGGAUAACAGGCUAAUCUUGCCCAAGCGUCCAUAGCGACGGCAAGGUUUGGCACCUCGAUGUCGGCUCAUCGCAUCCUGGGGCUGAAGCAGGUCCCAAGGGUUGGGCUGUUCGCCCAUUAAAGCGGUACGCGAGCUGGGUUCAGAACGUCGUGAGACAGUUCGGUCCCUAUCCUCUGUAGCCGUAGGUGAAUUGAGGAAAGCUGUCCCUAGUACGAGAGGACCGGGACGGACGCAGCUCUCGUGUGCCAGUUGUCCUGCCAAGGGCAUGGCUGGUUAGCGACCCGCGGAAAGGAUAACCGCUGAAAGCAUCUAAGCGGGAAGCCUCUUCCAAGAUGAAUUCACCCACAGGGUUAACCUGGUAAGGCCCGUGGUAGACCACCACGUUGAUAGGCCGGAAGUGUAAGCGUGGCAACACGCUCAGCUGACCGGUACUAAUCGGCCGAGGGCUUGAAUU